AGAGUUUGAUCCUGGCUCAGGAUGAACGCUGGCGACGUGCCUAACACAUGCAAGUCGAGCGAUUUACUUCGGUAAAGAGCGGCGGACGGGUGAGUAACGCGUGGGUAACCUGCCCUGUACACACGGAUAACAUACCGAAAGGUAUGCUAAUACGAGAUAAUAUGCUUUUAUCGCAUGGUAGAAGUAUCAAAGCUUUUGCGGUACAGGAUGGACCCGCGUCUGAUUAGCUAGUUGGUAAGGUAACGGCUUACCAAGGCGACGAUCAGUAGCCGACCUGAGAGGGUGAUCGGCCACAUUGGAACUGAGACACGGUCCAAACUCCUACGGGAGGCAGCAGUGGGGAAUAUUGCACAAUGGGCGAAAGCCUGAUGCAGCAACGCCGCGUGAGCGAUGAAGGCCUUCGGGUCGUAAAGCUCUGUCCUCAAGGAAGAUAAUGACGGUACUUGAGGAGGAAGCCCCGG
rnacentral:rRNA from 1 species